CUUGAAAGGAGCAGUGCCUGUGAGGCCUCGGGAAAAUUGCUUCACCAAGUCUGACCGGGCUCUGAAAAGUGCAGGGGUCUCCAUGGACCUGCAGAGAUCAUCCAGGUCUGCAUGGUACUGCAGGGUGGCUUGGAUCCUGUGCGCUCCAAACGUGCUGGAGACCUUUGAGCAGCUGGACAUUUCCCCGGGAUACUGCUGGCCUAUGAAAACAUCUAACAGCCAGAUUGUCUUCAACUUGCCCACAGAAGUCCAGCC